GCUCACUUUGGGAGCAUGUACUAAACUUGAAACAAUACAAGAAGAUUAGGAUGGCCCUUGCAUGAGGUGGACAUGUAUAUUCAUCAUAUGGUCCAUAGUUUU
ensembl:snRNA U6 U6 spliceosomal RNA